rnacentral:rRNA from 1 species
GCUCAGAUUGAACGCUGGCGGCAGGCUUAACACAUGCAAGUCGAACGAUGAUUUUCUAGCUUGCUAGAGAAGAUUAGUGGCGGACGGGUGAGUAACAUUUAGGAAUCUGCCUAGUAGUGGGGGAUAGCUCGGGGAAACUCGAAUUAAUACCGCAUACGACCUACGGGUGAAAGGGGGCGCAAGCUCUUGCUAUUAGAUGAGCCUAAAUCAGAUUAGCUAGUUGGUGGGGUAAAGGCCCACCAAGGCGACGAUCUGUAACUGGUCUGAGAGGAUGAUCAGUCACACCGGAACUGAGACACGGUCCGGACUCCUACGGGAGGCAGCAGUGGGGAAUAUUGGACAAUGGGGGCAACCCUGAUCCAGCCAUGCCGCGUGUGUGAAGAAGGCCUUUUGGUUGUAAAGCACUUUAAGCAGGGAGGAGAGGCUAAUGGUUAAUACCCAUUAGAUUAGACGUUACCUGCAGAAUAAGCACCGGCUAACUCUGUGCCAGCAGCCGCGGUAAUACAGAGGGUGCGAGCGUUAAUCGGAAUUACUGGGCGUAAAGCGAGUGUAGGUGGCUCAUUAAGUCACAUGUGAAAUCCCCGGGCUUAACCUGGGAACUGCAUGUGAUACUGGUGGUGCUAGAAUAUGUGAGAGGGAAGUAGAAUUCCAGGUGUAGCGGUGAAAUGCGUAGAGAUCUGGAGGAAUACCGAUGGCGAAGGCAGCUUCCUGGCAUAAUAUUGACACUGAGAUUCGAAAGCGUGGGUAGCAAACAGGAUUAGAUACCCUGGUAGUCCACGCCGUAAACGAUGUCUACUAGCCGUUGGGGUCCUUGAGACUUUAGUGGCGCAGUUAACGCGAUAAGUAGACCGCCUGGGGAGUACGGCCGCAAGGUUAAAACUCAAAUGAAUUGACGGGGGCCCGCACAAGCGGUGGAGCAUGUGGUUUAAUUCGAUGCAACGCGAAGAACCUUACCUGGUCUUGACAUAGUGAGAAUCUUUCAGAGAUGAGAGAGUGCCUUCGGGAAUUCACAUACAGGUGCUGCAUGGCUGUCGUCAGCUCGUGUCGUGAGAUGUUGGGUUAAGUCCCGCAACGAGCGCAACCCUUUUCCUUAUUUGCCAGCGGGUUAAGCCGGGAACUUUAAGGAUACUGCCAGUGACAAACUGGAGGAAGGCGGGGACGACGUCAAGUCAUCAUGGCCCUUACGACCAGGGCUACACACGUGCUACAAUGGUAGGUACAGAGGGUUGCUACACAGCGAUGUGAUGCUAAUCUCAAAAAGCCUAUCGUAGUCCGGAUUGGAGUCUGCAACUCGACUCCAUGAAGUCGGAAUCGCUAGUAAUCGCAGAUCAGAAUGCUGCGGUGAAUACGUUCCCGGGCCUUGUACACACCGCCCGUCACACCAUGGGAGUCUAUUGCACCAGAAGUAGGUAGCCUAACGAA